AAAUUCCUCGACAACAGCGUACCACUGUCUGUAUGUACCACAGGUUCCGUACGGGUAGGAGAGGACACUGGAUACACUGUUGAGGGUCCUAGCUGGGAAAGACACUGCUGUAAAAAAAUCCAUCCGAGGUAACGAUGAUGAACAUUCUCUUAAAAAACAACUGCCUAAGGCACUGAUGACACCAAACCAACUGAUUUACAGUUUUUCUGCAAUAUAUCUGCAUACGACGUUGACCCUCCGAUUGGACAGGCACGGAUCUGUAGACACCGCCGAACAAGGCACAUUCUGUACCUGCGCACCUCUGAAUGACAAUAAUGUAGAAAAACAACCGCUACUACAUACUUUACCAACAAGGAAGUGAAAUUUAACCACGUCGUUCUCCUGAGGUGUGACCGAGAUUAUUAAAUACCUUCGAAAGACGUCAAUGGCAACAAAUCUUCUGACCUGGCAGAUACGCCAUGGAUCCUCAGACACCGUUGAUCCUGGGAUUGGACAGUUCCGCCAUGGAUCCUCAGAUACCGUUGAUCCUGGUAUUGGACAGUUACGCCAUGGAUCCUCAGAUACCGUUGGUCCUGGGAUUGGACAGUUACGCCAUGGAUCCUCAGAUACCGUUGAUCCUGGGAUUGGACAGUUACGCCAUGGAUCCUCAGUUACCGUUGGUCCUGGGAUUGGACAGUUACGCCAUGGAUCCUCAGAUACCGUUGAUCAUGGGAUUGGACAGUUACGCCAUGGAUCCUCAGUUACCGUUGGUCCUGGGAUUGGAAGUUACGCCAUGGAUCCUCAGAUACCGUUGAUCCUGGGAUUGGACAGUGACGCCAUGGGUCCUCAGAUACCGUUGAUUCUGGGAUUGGACAGUUACGCCAUGGAGCUGAAGACAAGGGUCACUAUAAUUGGAGAGAAGACAGGUGACAAUUUCCCCGUCGACCACAGGAUUGGGUUGUACCCGAAGAAGAUCGCGUGGUGAACGGUAAAAUCCCUUUUAUGAGAUUUAUAUCAACACAGGUGACGUUAUGGUCUUGGCCUGGUGUAGGUAUCCAGUCCUCAGAUAUUCCCAGCAUUGUGAAUCUACCUCCGUUCCCAGUGUGGGAGAUACACAGGAAGGAGGAGAAAUCACAACAGAGAAUGGAAAGCGAGACUGAAAAGAAAAAUUGCGACAGAGGUUGUUGGGGUUGAAAUUAUAAUAGUCGAAUGGAGAUGGAAUUUCGACAGACCAUUGGAGGCGAUAUCAUGACAGAACAUACAAGCACACUUAGAACUGAUAAGUUCAGAUUGUAACAGACAAUGGGAGGCAAAUACAGUUAUACAUGCAGGUAUGUAUAUACCAGUACAUUUCAGCAGUCGAAGGUCUCCCGAAUGGUGGGAAGGUGAGUAUCGGUGAGUACUCAUUUAAAAAAAAAUUGAGAUAGGUGGUAUCAUAAGCGUCAGGGCUAGACAAUUAAUGUUAACUAGAAAUUACUGUAUUUGUUUCAGAUAGUUCAACGACAACUUCAACAGAAGCUACAACUACAACCACAGAACUUACAACUACAACAACACAACCCACAACUAUAACCACAGAACU
rnacentral:misc_RNA from 1 species